rnacentral:rRNA from 1 species
UACAGAGGUGGCAAGCGUUGUUCGGAAUUACUGGGCGUAAAGGGCGUGUAGGCGGUCUUCUAAGUCAGACGUGAAAUCCCCCGGCUUAACCUGGGAACUGCGUCUGAUACUGGGAGGCUUGAGUAUGGGAGAGGGAUGUAGAAUUCCAGGUGUAGCGGUGAAAUGCGUAGAUAUCUGGAGGAAUACCGGUGGCGAAGGCGGCAUCCUGGACCAUUACUGACGCUUAAGCGCGAAAAGCUAGGGGAGCAAACGGG